rnacentral:rRNA from 1 species
AUGAACGCUGGCGGCGUGCUUAACCCAUGCAAGUCGCACGGAAAGGCUCCUGCUUGCAGGGGUACUCGAGUGGCGAACGGGUGAGUAACACGUGGGUGAUCUGCCCUGCACUUCGGGAUAAGCCUGGGAAACUGGGUCUAAUACCGGAUAGGACGAUGGUUUGGAUGCCAUUGUGGAAAGUUUUUCGGUGUGGGAUGAGCUCGCGGCCUAUCAGCUUGUUGGUGGGGUAAUGGCCUACCAAGGCGUCGACGGGUAGCCGGCCUGAGAGGGUGUACGGCCACAUUGGGACUGAGAUACGGCCCAGACUCCUACGGGAGGCAGCAGUGGGGAAUAUUGCACAAUGGGCGCAAGCCUGAUGCAGCGACGCCGCGUGGGGGAUGACGGCCUUCGGGUUGUAAACUCCUUUCGCUAGGGACGAAGCGCAAGUGACGGUACCUGGAGAAGAAGCACCGGCUAACUACGUG